AUAUUUAUGAAAGGUUAGAGAUGCAUGACAUAUGCAUGAUGGUGACACAAUAUGAUUGACUCUUUUUUUUCAAAAAGCUCUCGGUCUUUUAUUAACAAGAUUUUUCUCUUUUUUUUUUUUUUUUUUUUUUUCCAAAACUCUCUGGAUAACACUUGAGAAAACUUUCCGUUGGGGAGAAAGGGUGGAAGAUGUUGGGAGAAAUGAUUUGCCAGGUGGAACCUGGAAUUUGAUGUGGAUUGACCCAUCAUGCACC
rnacentral:lncRNA from 1 species